ACACAAAGAAGUCAAAAGAAAAAGAAAAACACAAGAUCACAAAACAUGUUGUCCUCUCCACUCUUUUUUUUUAUUGUUGUUGCUUUUGCUGUUGUU
rnacentral:ribozyme from 13 species